rnacentral:rRNA from 1 species
UAAACGAUGUCUACUAGUUGUUGGUGGAGUAAAAUCCAUGAGUAACGCAGCUAACGCGUGAAGUAGACCGCCUGGGGAGUACGGUCGCAAGAUUAAAACUCAAAUGAAUUGACGGGGGCCCGCACAAGCGGUGGAUUAUGUGGAUUAAUUCGAUGCAACGCGAAAAACCUUACCUGGCCUUGACAUGUACCGAAUUUGGGAGAGAUUCCUUAGUGCUCGAAAGAGAACGGUAACACAGGUGCUGCAUGGCUGUCGUCAGCUCGUGUCGUGAGAUGUUGGGUUAAGUCCCGCAACGAGCGCAACCCUUGCCAUUAAUUGCCAUCAUUUAGUUGGGCACUUUAAUGGGACUGCCGGUGACAAACCGGAGGAAGGUGGGGAUGACGUCAAGUCCUCAUGGCCCUUAUGGCCAGGGCUUCACACGUAAUACAAUGGUCGGUACAGAGGGUUGCCAACCCGCGAGGGGGAGCCAAUCCCAGAAAGCCGAUCGUAGUCCGGAUUGUAGUCUGCAACUCGACUACAUGAAGUCGGAAUCGCUAGUAAUCGCGGAUCAGCAUGUCGCGGUGAAUACGUUCCCGGGCCUUGUACACACCGCCCGUCACACCAUGGGAGUGGGUUUUACCAGAAGUAGGUAGUCUAACCGUAAGGAGGACGCUUACCACGGUAGUAUUCAUGACUGGGGUGAAGUCGUAACAAGGUAACC